GCCCCAUUCAUCUGCUAGGGCAAAAUGGCUUCCAAUAGGUUCAUCAUAAAAAUAAUCUAUACCAAUGAAUAAAACAAGCAAUGUGUUAGUCUAUUCCUAUAACACAAUGCUAUAACUAAUUAAAUGCACAUAUGGUCUAAAAUAAUUCCCUCCCUUGUGGUACACUCAACUGUUUUGAAAUUUUAAGUGCCUUUCUUUAAAAAAAUUAUAUUUGCAGUAAAAAGGGUAAGAUAAAAAGUAACUGGCUGAUUAAAAACUCAGAGAAUGCAAUUCCAUUUUGCAGGAGACACCAGCAAUCAUUUGCAGGAGAUAUUGAUCAACCAGAGAAUGCACAUUUCUGAACCAGAUCCCUGGUGAGGUUGAUGGGACAGUAGCAGGAAGCUUGUUUUGUGGAUUUGGAAAUGAAAACCCAAGAGGUGAGUGACUUGGGAACACUGAACAUGAUUUCCCCUCUCAGAGAUGAGACCAGGACUAAUGUCUGCCAGCCGAUU
rnacentral:lncRNA from 1 species